rnacentral:rRNA from 1 species
GACGAACGCUGGCGGCGUGCUUAACACAUGCAAGUCGAACGGUAAGGCCCUUCGGGGUACACGAGUGGCGAACGGGUGAGUAACACGUGGGUGAUUUGCCCUGCACUUCGGGAUAAGCCUGGGAAACUGGGUCUAAUACCGGAUAGGACUCCUGGCUUCAUGGUUGGGGGUGGAAAGCUUUUGUGGUGUGGGAUGGGCCCGCGGCCUAUCAGCUUGUUGGUGGGGUAAUGGCCUACCAAGGCGACGACGGGUAGCCGGCCUGAGAGGGUGACCGGUCACACUGGGACUGAGAUACGGCCCAGACUCCUACGGGAGGCAGCAGUGGGGAAUAUUGCACAAUGGGCGCAAGCCUGAUGCAGCGACGCCGCGUGAGGGAUGACGGCCUUCGGGUUGUAAACCUCUUUCAGCUAUGACGAAGCGCAAGUGACGGUAGUAGCAGAAGAAGGACCGGCCAACUACGUGCCAGCCGCCGCGGUAA